rnacentral:tRNA from 1 species
GGAUUAUGGCUCAGUGGUAGAGCGCUCACCUAGCAUGUGUGAGGCUCUGGGUUCCAUCCUCAGCACCA